CAUACAUGGAGCACCAUCGCCGACCCCCAUGAGAAAAGGCGAUGAAACAUCCCCCCUCAGCAGUUUAAAAGAGAACUGCAGUUUCCAUAGGAACAGAUCUAAAAGCAAUUAGAUGUGACGCGCAGAAUGAGGCUUGAUGAGCCAUCAUUCCGGAAUGGCCCUCGAAAUUCCAUCUGAGACGCUCUCCACGACCCCCCCCCCGCUUCCCCCCCACCACCCUUCUCAUUUUGUUCUUUUCAUUGCUUGUGUUUCUCAUUUCCUCCUCCUCACCAGAUGCUAGUUUAAAGCGGGCCUACUGCAUGAAUCUCAUCUUUACAUCAUGAGGGUCCUAUUACUCCUCUGAUCAGCAGGCGUCACAGUAGAGAUCGAUUGACACCGCCUCGUUCUCCGAAAAAAGAAGGACGGGGCAGCGAGGAUGGGCCGCAGAGGCAAACACAGAGAUGAGUUUUGGCAAGGAAAUCCAUGGAAGGCAUUAGGGAAAAAAUAAAAAAGAAGAGGGCAGAGGGGGGGAGGAAGCCGACCAUUUGAAGAAGGACGGGCAGAUGGGGAAGUGGAGGCGGGAAGGAGAUGUAGUGAUCGGUGACCCUGCCUCGGGGCUGAAGUCCACGCUCCAUUAAAGAUAAUUUGCAUAAUGUUCCUCUUGGCUCAUUAAAGAUGAGCAGAGGUUCAAGCUACAUUCUGCCAGGUGAUACAUGUGAUGGCAUCCUCCUCCACCCCCACCUCCAUUCCAUCUCCGCCCUCCAUCUUCGCUCCUCAGCCCUCCCACGCUCCUCCUCUACGACCCUCCUCUGCUCUGCCUAUCAAAAAACGCAUAAGAGAGAUAAAGGGAAAAUCCGACAGUCUGCAUCCCACUCCACCUCUCAUCCAUCAUAGAUAAAUGCUUCCCUUCAUCAUUGAGCUGUCACCCCCCUUUUCAUUUGAUAGUACAUAUGUUCUGCCUCCCCUCCCCCGGGGCAUAUCGCUUGCUCUGGGCUCAGGAAUUAAUGCACGUCGGCAGCAGUUUGCUUAAGUACGCAUCUUUCUUGGAAGGAAUGAAUGGAUUUGAUCUCUAUUUUUGGCCCCUCCUUCUUCCUGUUAAAACUGACAGUGGCCCCUUCAUCGGUGCAAAACGCCACCAGCAGAUGGUCAGAAUGUGGAUAAACAGCUGCUUUGCUGUGUUUGCAGCAUACACCUUAUCUGGGCAUGUUUUGCUGCCAUUAGAUCCCUCUCCACAGACCCUACUGGGAGCUCGUCAAAAGGAGGGAACCUAUUUAAACGGGUUCAAACCUCAUAGGAAACCACAAAACGACAAGCCACAAACGAGCAAAGUAUGCAGAUAAUGGGAGGAAGAAAAUGAAGCUGGUCUCCGCUGAGAUUUGCCCCGACUUGCAGUUGUCAUCGCUUCAAACUGCUUGGUCAUUACUGCACCACAAGCAGCUCGGCUUAAUGUCUUCUGACUUAACACUAAUGACUGACUCUGCAUCUGUCCCAGCGGGGACGUGCAUCGGCCGGGAAGACUAUGAAAAGUCACUCCAACCCUUAUUUGCAACAAUUAAGGCGGCAAUUUUCAUCAGUUGUGUUAAAGUGUUUCCACAAGGAUGUUUGGGGUUUUCAUAUGGCCGUUUACAAAAGAAAUCAUGCCCUAAAAAGAAGAUGGAAAAGGAGGGGAGGCGACAUGGGCUUCGUCCUCUAUCCGUUUCCUUCCUCUCUUCCCAACACCUCUUUCUCCUCUCUACUUUAUCUCUAUCUUUUUCUCUCCUUCCGUUGGAGUUCUGCUCCUUUUUUCCCCCUAACUCUUUGCACGGCGUUCCAUAAGCCAUGCAUAUUUAACGUAGCUGCAUCUUCAAAGCUAUGAACUUAUUCAUUAGCAUUUAGAGUGCUAAUGAAACCACUCAAAGUGCUAGCCCCCUUGCUGUUUCCCUACACCUCGUCUCAUCCAACGGCGUAGCGACAGCUACAACACCUCUACCAACAACCUCUCUCAGCCG
ensembl:lncRNA